rnacentral:rRNA from 1 species
AUUGAACGCUGGCGGCAGGCCUAACACAUGCAAGUCGAGCGGCAGCGGAAAGUAGCUUGCUACUUUGCCGGCGAGCGGCGGACGGGUGAGUAAUGUCUGGGAAACUGCCUGAUGGAGGGGGAUAACUACUGGAAACGGUAGCUAAUACCGCAUAACGUCGCAAGACCAAAGAGGGGGACCUUCGGGCCUCUUGCCAUCAGAUGUGCCCAGAUGGGAUUAGCUAGUAGGUGGGGUAACGGCUCACCUAGGCGACGAUCCCUAGCUGGUCUGAGAGGAUGACCAGCCACACUGGAACUGAGACACGGUCCAGACUCUUACGGGAGGCAGCAGUGGGGAAUAUUGCACAAUGGGCGCAAGCCUGAUGCAGCCAUGCCGCGUGUAUGAAGAAGGCCUUCGGGUUGUAAAGUACUUUCGGCGGGGAGGAGGGUGUUGAGGUUAAUAACCUCAGCAAUUGACGUUACCCGCAGAAGAAGCACCGGCUAACUCCGUGCCAGCCGCCGCCGUAACAC